rnacentral:misc_RNA from 1 species
UGUAUCUAUAUAUUCUGAAUACAAAGAAAAAGAUCUUGUUACCGCUACGUAUGUGCACCAUAAUGGUUUUUAUUACAUUGCGUAAACAUGAAAUGUACAACGCGAACGUGUCGUUCCUAAUCGUGUAUUUUGUCCAUUAAAUCUCUCACGACGAAUGUGAUUUUUGCUCGGAAGUGCUUAAAGUAAUAGGCGAUUGCCGGAACGUAUAUUAUUUGCUGCGAAUGUCCGUGAUUCAUGGUGUUUCUCCGACCGUUGUUUUGUUGAUCGAAACCGGUGUAUACAUGUCCGGCAGCUAUUAUAGUACAUUGAAAAUUCAACUCGUCGGAAUUAAAUCAGGCAAGAAUUAUUGUGUACGUGUUCGUACUUAAUGAUUUCCGUAAUUUUUAAAAUGUCAUAGUUUUGAUCGUUCUGAGUGUGAAUGUAUUCGUCGAAUUGUUGCGUGAAUAAAUUGUGAUAUGAAAAGUACGUUUUAUUUUGUGUUUGCGUUUUCUGCGUGUGUAGUGUAUCACGAAAUGAUAAAUUCUCGACGCAAAUCUGUGAUUUUUGAAGGUGAAAUAUGUAGGCUGAACUUUCCCAAAGUUGACUUUUCUCCGGUAAUGUACAUAACCUAAUGCUGAAUCUACAGUGGAUGAAGCAAACUGCAAUAUUCUAGCUGAUCCAGCUAAAAGGGCGUUUUUCUUCCAGAAUGCAACGAUCGAAUGUCAGCCAUGAGGAGGCAGUUGUGUCCGAGCACGAGCAGCGGAAACAGCGGGGCUGGUGAGCCGCUGAUCGUCGUCGAGGAAAGUAUUCUGGGCGAGGAAGAAGGAGAUCGCUGUCGCGCGGAAUCGCCACCGCGAUGCGAUCCGGACUCGCCAUCCUUAAAUCCUUAUCUGCUUUCGCCAUGGCGAGAGGCUAGGAAGCACUCCUUACCGACUCCGCAGUGUACAUCCGGUAUAACAGCAUCCCAGGUGCGACGAUUAAGCGAACGUGGAGAAAGCUCCGGUUUGUCGGUGAAGGAAGCAGCUUUCUUGGCGACGCUCUCGCAGACUCCGGCACCGCAGUCCGGCGGUCGGCGACACUCCGUUGUCACGAUCUCCAGGGUGCCGACCACUUUGUUCGGCCGCAAUCGUCGGGAAUCUUUCGCCGCGUUUCCCAUGGGAGGCGUCACCAGAGUAUUGCAGAGCCGGCGAAACUCGUCCACCGGGAUGACCGGUCCGCCCAGCAAUAGCGGGAGCACUCACAAUCUGCAGCUCGACAUUAUGGAUGACAUCGCCGACAUCAAGGCCAGAAAAGUUCGUUUAAAAAUGUACAAGACGUCGUCUCACGAACGCGUGUGUGAAAUUGAAUCUCUGGAGGGAAACAGCAGCACCACGCAGAAAUAUACACAGCCCCAAAAACGCCGGUUCUCUGAAUUCUCCGCAUCGAUCACGGCAACGACGUCGGAUCUUCGCAGACGCGCGUCCGAAGUGACGAAGCCACUCUACGAAAUGAAGAUGCCUAGCUCAUCGUCAGCGACGGCGGCGGGCAUCACGUGCUCCAAUACCGACCUAAUAUCCAUUUUGAGUUCCUUGACAUCGUCGGCGACAGAGAUAAAUACAUGCGGUAUAUCGGAUGCGUCAAUCGCCAAAGAUGAGCAGAGGCCAAGUCGAUCAGCGAAAACGACGGAGCAGAGACGCAGUCGACUCACGAACUCACGAUCCAACAGCUUCGACGUGUCCAUCCUGCAGGGUUCCAAGAUCAGGAUUUCGAACAUCGGCGGCAAGAACACCGGUGGCUCACCCAUAACGCCGAGCAAUUGGUUUGCCAAGAGGCAUCAGCCCAUCUCGAAGAAGAACCGAUACGAUGAGGAGAGAGCGACGACGUUCGAUAAGCCCGGGAUGGUGGCCAAAAUCGUGAAGGAUACGGUCACGAAGAACGUGGACACGAAACUCAAAGUUCUUUGGGACGAUAGCACCAAAGUGGACGCUCAGGUGUUCGGUAAUGCCAUCGAGAAGAUUCUCACCUCGGUCCACAAGGGAAGCGACGCGGAAGCGUCGGGCAGUUCACCCGGAAAGCCAUCCGUGUCACCGAACAAGUCGCGCGCCGGUAAGGUGACCAGCUGGUUCUCGAGCGGGAACAAAGAGCAGGAGCAGUCGGAUUGCGACGGAAUCUGUUCGACUCUCAAAGACCUCUUCGUCAAGUAGUGCCGUAUUUCCGAAUCGUUUCUGAUUGCGUCAUCUGUUCGUUUUGUUUUCAAGGUACGAGAGGGAGAAAAAUCGAAGAAAGGGAUGAAGAGGGAGCACAAAGCCGCGGAAGAUUACGAGUUUGAUCGAGAAUGUAGUCUUUUCCACCUAUUUCUCUUUUUUCCUCUUUUUUUUCCGCAUUUCCUGGCAUGAUAAGACUGCUCAACACCCUCGCGUAAUUAUAAAACACGUCCGAGUGUGUUUGCGAUUUUUUAACAUAUUCGAACUCAGAAAUAUUCAAAUACUAAAAGAAUAAUAAAUCGUCUGAAGGAAAUUACAACAUUUGUAAGGAAUAUUUUCGAUUUUGUGAGACUUGUUUCUAUACGUUUACGGUAUUUUGUUCAAAAAUAAAUGAACAUUAAUGAAUGAUACAAAUAUUGUGAUUUUAAUAUUUGCGAACGUUUAUAUGAUUAAAUACGAUAUAAUUUACGAAGGCUUGUGCUAUAUUUUCUGUUGCAUAAUAUGUAAAUUGUGCAAAUCGUAUUUGCGAAUGCCAUAUGCAUUUAAUUCGAUAUACACACAUAUAUAUCGUAUAUGCAAACUAUUUUCGCUAUUAUCCUCCACUUAUCCUGAUUAUUCUUACUCUCGCAGCUGAUUGCACUCAUAAUGUACCACAAAACAGGACGUGGCAGAUAACGUAGUUAUGCUUUGUCCUUGUUAUCCUGAGCGAAAGCAUAUUCAUGCAUGCAUACAAAGGUGGCAUGUGCGCGUCGUAUAAUUUCUAUUGAUAGUACGAGAAUUGAAAAGAUCGAUUACAAAACUAUUUUCAUAGGGAAUAAUUAUUUUCAAUAGUGCAUCGUUUUUGGUUGCCGCGAUAAUAUUACUUCGGCGCAGAAGAGAUCUUUUUAGAGUAAGAUUACGACGUAACAAAAUAUUCUGCUGUGCAAAGAUAAUAUCAAUAAUCCUGAACGUUAAUCUAUCCUUUGCGGGUCAAAGGGGGCAUGUUAAUUAGAAAGAAUAUAUAAUAUAUUCUACUUAAAAAAAAAAAAAAAAAGAGCACAACAGUGGCGACUGAUCCAAUAAGUUACGCGAAGUGGCACUUUAUCUGUCGUUCUUCCUGUUGUAUUGGUCGACCGCACAAACCGCCACUGAUAUAAAGGUAUACAUGUAUAUGAUAGAUGCAUACGUUUAAUAAUAACAUACGGCAAUUGAUAUACAUUGCUGCGUGUUAAACAGAGAAUAUAAAAAAUAUUCAUGUUGCAACUUCGAGAAUUUUGUGUGUUUCAAAGAUAGAGAUAUUAGGUAUAUAUUACAACAUCCUGC